GGCUCAGGACGAACGCUGGCGGCGUGCCUAAUACAUGCAAGUGGAACGCAUUUUGAUUACCGUAGCUUGCUACACCGAUUAAAAUGAGUCGCGAACGGGUGAGUAACGCGUAGGUAACCUACCUCAUAGCGGGGGACAACUAUUGGAAACGAUAGCUAAUACCGCAUAAGACAUUUUAUCGCAUGAUAGGAUGUUAAAAGAUGCAACUGCAUCACUAUGAGAUGGACCUGCGUUGUAUUAGCUAGUUGGUGAGGUAACGGCUCACCAAGGCUGCGAUACAUAGCCGACCUGAGAGGGUGAUCGGCCACACUGGGACUGAGACACGGCCCAGACUCCUACGGGAGGCAGCAGUAGGGAAUCUUCGGCAAUGGGGGCAACCCUGACCGAGCAACGCCGCGUGAGUGAAGAAGGUUUUCGGAUCGUAAAGCUCUGUUGUAAGCGAAGAACAGUGAUAGGAGUGGAAAAUCUAUCACAUGACGGUAGCUUACCAGAAAGGGACGGCUAACUACGUGCCAGCAGCCGCGGUAAUACGUAGGUCUCAAGCGUUGUCCGGAUUUAUUGGGCGUAAAGCGAGCGCAGGCGGUUAGAUAAGUCAGAAGUUAAAGGCUGUGGCUCAACCAUAGUACGCUUUUGAAACUGUUUAACUUGAGUGCAGAAGGGGAGAGUGGAAUUCCAUGUGUAGCGGUGAAAUGCGUAGAUAUAUGGAGGAACACCGGUGGCGAAAGCGGCUCUCUGGUCUGUCACUGACGCUGAGGCUCGAAAGCGUGGGUAGCGAACAGGAUUAGAUACCCUGGUAGUCCACGCCGUAAACGAUGAGUGCUAGGUGUUAGGCCCUUUCCGGGGCUUAGUGCCGCAGCUAACGCAUUAAGCACUCCGCCUGGGGAGUACGACCGCAAGGUUGAAACUCAAAGGAAUUGACGGGGGCCCGCACAAGCGGUGGAGCAUGUGGUUUAAUUCGAAGCAACGCGAAGAACCUUACCAGGUCUUGACAUCCCUCUGAUCGGUCUAGAGAUAGGCUUUCCCUUCGGGGCAGAGGUGACAGGUGGUGCAUGGUUGUCGUCAGCUCGUGUCGUGAGAUGUUGGGUUAAGUCCCGCAACGAGCGCAACCCUUAUUGUUAGUUGCCAUCAUUUAGUUGGGCACUCUAGCGAGACUGCCGGUAAUAAACCGGAGGAAGGUGGGGAUGACGUCAAAUCAUCAUGCCCCUUAUGACCUGGGCUACACACGUGCUACAAUGGUUGGUACAACGAGUCGCAAGCCGGUGACGGCAAGCUAAUCUCUUAAAGCCAAUCUCAGUUCGGAUUGUAGGCUGCAACUCGCCUACAUGAAGUCGGAAUCGCUAGUAAUCGCGGAUCAGCACGCCGCGGUGAAUACGUUCCCGGGCCUUGUACACACCGCCCGUCACACCACGAGAGUUUGUAACACCCGAAGUCGGUGAGGUAACCUAUUAGGAGCCAGCCGCCGAAGGUGGGAUAGAUGAUUGGGGUGAAGUCGUAACAAGGUAGCCGUAUCGGAAGGUGCGGCUGGAUCACCUCCUUUCUAAGGAAAAUCGUAGGAAUACGAUCGGAAGGUACGUUUGUUUGUCUUGUUUAGUUUUGAGAGGUCUUAACCAUAGAGACGUGGGGCCUUAGCUCAGCUGGGAGAGCGCCUGCUUUGCACGCAGGAGGUCAGCGGUUCGAUCCCGCUAGGCUCCAUAGGUUAGCGAUAACCUAGAGAUUGAUCCUUGAAAAUUGAAUAUCUAUCAAAUUCCGUAUAUAUAGGAGACUAUAUAUAUGAAGUAACAAGAAAUAAACCGAAGAAAAAGACGCUAUAAAUACUGAGAACCAAAAAGAAAAAAGAAAUAAGGUUAAGUUAAUAAGGGCGCACGGUGGAUGCCUUGGCACUAGGAGCCGAAGAAGGACGUGACUAACAACGAAAUGCUUUGGGGAGCUGUAAGUAAGCGCUGAUCCAGAGAUAUCCGAAUGGGGGAACCCACUAGCUAAUGGCUAGUAUCCAUAACUGUUAAGGUUAUGAGAAGGAAGACGCAGUGAACUGAAACAUCUAAGUAGCUGCAGGAAGAGAAAGCAAACGCGAUUGCCUUAGUAGCGGCGAGCGAAACGGCAGGAGGGCAAACCGAAGAGUUUACUCUUCGGGGUUGUAGGACUGUAAUGUGGACGUUAUCUUUAUAGAAGAACUACCUGGGAAGGUAGGCCAAAGAGAGUAAGAGCCUCGUAUUUGAAAUAGAGAUAAUACCUAACAGUAUCCUGAGUACGGCGAGACACGUGGAAUCUCGUCGGAAGCUGGGAGGACCAUCUCCCAACCCUAAAUACUCCCUAGUGACCGAUAGUGAACCAGUACCGUGAGGGAAAGG
rnacentral:rRNA from 1 species